GGUUCCAUGGUCUAGUGGUCAGGACAUUGGACUCUGAAUUCAGUAACCCGAGUUCAAAUCUUGGUGGAACCU
rnacentral:tRNA from 1 species